rnacentral:rRNA from 1 species
AGUGAACGCUGGCGGUAGGCCUAACACAUGCAAGUCGAACGGCAGCACAGUAAGAGCUUGCUCUUACGGGUGGCGAGUGGCGGACGGGUGAGGAAUACAUCGGAAUCUACUUUUUCGUGGGGGAUAACGUAGGGAAACUUACGCUAAUACCGCAUACGACCUACGGGUGAAAGCAGGAGAUCUUCGGACCUUGCGCGAUUGAAUGAGCCGAUGUCGGAUUAGCUAGUUGGCGGGGUAAAGGCCCACCAAGGCGACGAUCCGUAGCUGGUCUGAGAGGAUGAUCAGCCACACUGGAACUGAGAAACGGUCCCGACUCCUACGGGAGGCAGCAGUGGGGAAUAUUGGACAAUGGGCGCAAGCCUGAUCCAGCCAUACCGCGUGAGUGAAGAAGGCCUUCGGGUUGUAAAGCCCUUUUGUUGGGAAAGAAAAGCAGCAGGUUAAUACCCCGCUGUUCUGACGGUACCCAAAGAAUAAGCACCGGCUAACUUCGUG